ACCCCUGUAAGUAGAAAAUAUUCAGCUGUCAGUCUCUUCAAUGGAACAAGUCUCCAUAUCCCAAUAUCUCCUGACAAACCCUUUCCCAAUCACGGUCACGCUGUGUAGUGUAGUAAGUGAAUGUGUAGUACAUACAGACUGUAAGGACUUACUGAGAUCCAGUGUAGAGGGUGAGUAGUGAGAGGCACGUUGGUAAGUGAUCAGGUUGAUCUCACGCUGUGUAGUAAGUGAAUGUGUAGUACAUUCAGACUGUAAGGACACGGAGAUCCAGUGUAGAGAGUGAGUAGUGAGAGGUAAGUGAUCAGGUUGAUCUCACGCUGUGUAGUAAGUGAAUGUGUUGUACAUACAGACUGUAAGGACACUGAGAUCCAGUGUAGAGGGUGAGUAGUGACAGGCAUGUUGGUAAGUGAUCAGGUUGAUCUCACGCUGUGUAGUAAGUGAAUGUGCAGUACAUACAGACUGUAAGCACUUACUGAGAUCCAGUGUAGAGGGUGAGUAGUGACAGGCAUGUUGGAAAGUGAUCAGGUUGAUCUCACGCUGUGUAGUAAGUGAAUGUGUUGUACAUACAGACUGUAAGGACACUGAGAUCCAGUGUAGAGGGUGAGUAGUGAGAGGCACGUUGGUAAGUGAUCAGGUUGAUCUCACGCUGUGUAGUGUAGUAAGUGAAUGUGUUGUACAUACAGACUGUAAGUACUUACUGAGAUCCAGUGUAGAGGGUGAGUAGUGAGAGGUAAGUGAUCAGGUUGAUCUCACGCUGUGUAGUAAGUGAAUGUCUUGUACAUACAGACUGUAAGUACUUACUGAGAUCCAGUGUAGAGGGUGAGUAGUGAUAGGUAAGUGAUCAGGUUGAUCUCACACUGUGUAGUGUAGUAAGUGAAAGUGUAGUACAUUCAGACUGUAAGGACACUGAUCCAGUGUAGAGAGUGAGUAGUGAGAGGUAAGUGAUCAGGUUGAUCUCACACUGUGUAGUAAGUGAAUGUGUAGUACAUUCAGACUGUAAGGACACGGAGAUCCAGUGUAGAGGGUGAGUAGUGAGAGGUAAGUGAUCAGGUUGAUCUCACGCUGUGUAGUGUAGAAGUGAAUGUGUUGUACAUACAGACUGUAAGUACUUACUGAGAUCCAGUGUAGAGGGUGAGUAGUGAGAGGCACGUUGGUAAGUGAUCAGGUUGAUCUCACGCUGUGUAGUGUAGUAAGUGAAUGUGUUGUACAUACAGACUGUAAGGACUUACUGAGAUCCAGUGUAGAGGGUGAGUAGUGAGAGGUGAUCAGGUUGAUCUCACACUGUGUAGUAAGUGAAUGUGUAGUAAGUGAAUGUGUAGUACAUACAGACUGUAAAGACACUGAGAUCCAGUGUAGAGGGUGAGUAGUGAGAGGUAAGUGAUCAGGUUGAUCUCACGCUGUGUAGUAAGUGAAUGUGUUGUACAUACAGACUGUAAGUACUUACUGAGAUCCAGUGUAGAGGGUGAGUAGUGAGAGGUAAGUGAUCAGGUUGAUCUCACGCUGUGUAGUGUAGUAAGUGAAUGUGUUGUACAUACAGACUGUAAGUACUUACUGAGAUCCAGUGUAGAGGGUGAGUAGUGAGAGGCAUGUUGGUAAGUGAUCAGGUUGAUCUCACGCUGUGUAGUAAGUGAAUGUGUUGUACAUACAGACUAAGUACUUACUGAGAUCCAGUGUAGAGGGUGAGUAGUGAGAGGCACGUUGGUAAGUGAUCAGGUUGAUCUCACGCUGUGUAGUAAGUGAAUGUGUUGUACAUACAGACUGUAAGGACUUACUGAGAUCCAGUGUAGAGGGUGAGUAGUGAGAGGCACGUUGGUAAGUGAUCAGGUUGAUCUC